GUUUAACAUCUGACAAAUCUCCUUGGUUUUCCAGCUCUCCCACAGAGGUCCAGGGAGGAGUUCAAUGAGAGCUCUUAAUUCCUACUCAAGAUUAUUCUCUUUCAGAUCUUCCUGAAGCACCAUAUAAAUUACUUCUAAGAAAGCAUGGGAUCACUUGACUUUUUUGACGUUCACAAUGACUGCUCUGUCAUCUACUCUUCAUUAUAAUACCAUCUUCAAUGGUAUGGUGCUUGUAGGAUAAUCUGCUGCUGCAGCACUCAGGGUAGGUCUCUACUUGCUUUUAGGCCUGUCAGUUUUGGCAGGCCUGGGGAAUUCUCGGGGGAAAUAUUGGAGAUUAGACUUUAAUAGACUAAUCUGCACUGCAAUGAAACCUUUUCAUUGAUUUCCAGGGACUUUGCUUCAGGCCUUCAGAGCGAUGCAGUUUGUGAUUUGAGGAAGACGGAAUCUAGGGAGAAUUUUCUUGGCAGUAAGAGCCUGAGCUGGCGUUCAGCUCUGAACUUGGCCGUGCCUGUGCUGCAGACCUCUGACUGGACCUUCGAGCAUAAACCUGAAGUCCAAACGCACUCUUGGAGCGGAG
rnacentral:lncRNA from 1 species